GCGGGUGUAGCUCAAUUGGUAGAGCAUCAGCCUUCCAAGCUGAAUGUUGCGGGUUCGAGCCCCGUCGCCCGCU
rnacentral:tRNA from 1 species